GUGAACACACUGCUGUCACUGUUCUCUGUGUAUCAAACUGAAAGAUAUGACAUCCUGCUGUCUGUACUCUCAUGUGAAGGACUAUGAGACUCAAACAGGCGGAGUAUCCUUCCAGCAUUACAGCCAGUUUACCAGUCAGCUCCUGCAGUUGGUCCAUCGACCUCUCACGGAGAGAAAGGUCUCCCUCCUCCUAGAAGUGCUGAAACUCCAACCAGAGAAGAAACCAGUAGAGCUGAAAGGCUGUGUCAGAUGAAGAGAUUGAGUUGAGAGUUUCCUUCAGUUGUCUGCCCUACAUCUCACAGCUGAGCUGUGAUUCUGACAGGUUCUUCCAGRGUGUGUGUGAAUCCAUCCCUGUGAGGUCCAGAGAGGAUGCCCAGCAGUUGGCCUCUCUCCUCCAGGCCUUGGGCUCCACCCUGUCACUGGGAGGACAGUUACCCAGGAAAACCUGCAGGUCUGUGGUGAGAGUGCUUGGCCUCUGUGCCUCCAGAGUGGACCUCACUCUCACCCCCAGCAAGAUCUCUCUGAAAGGAGCCUCGCUUCUCUUCACACAUGUGUCACAGCUACACAAGCUCAGGCUGAAUGUGGGCAUGGCAGUGAGACUGGCCAGACUGGCUAGGAGGACAGGGAGAGGGGGUUCUCCACUGACGGUCCCAGAGCUCUCCCUGGUCCUAAAGAGCAGCCAGCCACCAGAGAGAGUGUUAUCCAGGGCUCUGAGUAGUGUGGCGUCCCUGCUGAGACUCUGGACGGUGCAGUGUCUGGACCUGACUGACUUCUGCAUCCAGGGUCACUCUGUCAUCACACUGCUGUGUCACCAAGGCCCUCUCACUCUCAGACUGCACUCAGACARRCUGCAGCAGCUGGCUGUGGUUGUGUAUGAAGCUCAGGACAAGGACUUGACUCGGUGGUUCCUGGAGAAGGUUGGUGGAGACCUGACCACCUGUAGGCUGGACUGGGAGGUGCUUCUCUCUCUGCUGCAGCAUUCAACCCACAACAUCACAGUGGACCUCAGGAAGAACAGGUUUCUAGAGAAGAACAUCUCAGAUCUUCUCCCCUUUCUGGGAAGGGUUAUAUUCAAGAGGCUCAGUUCCAGCUUUGUGAAGUCCACCAUCAGACAGAUCUAUGACAGUAGAGCCAGUGACUGUGUGUCCAGUUUGUUGAGGUCUUCAGACCAUUGGAUCAACCUGAAUAGCAGAGAGCUGGACAGAGUGGACUGUACUGCGCUGUGUUUCACCCUGCAGCACAGCCACCAAGUCAAAGUCAAUCUCCUGUGGACCUCCAUACCACCGGGGGAGAUAGAGAGCAUCCUGCCUCUUCUGGACAGAGUCUCCCAACUCAGGAUGCUGUUGCUGAGUUUCCUGCGCUGCCUCUCAGAUCCUGCAGGGGGCACUAUCACCACCUUCAGCAAUAACGCAGCAGCAGAGCUGCUCAGGCGGCUCUGCAGCACAGGUUGGACUUCCUCCUCCUGCUCCCUUUGUGGACCUGUCAGCUCACGACCAGGGGAGGCGCUGUGUCUGACCACUGUAGGGCCAUAA
rnacentral:lncRNA from 1 species